GAUGAACGCUGGCGGCGUGCCUAAUACAUGCAAGUCGGACGAGGGUUCAAGUCGUAAGACAUGGAUUCCUAGUGGCGAACGGGUGAGUAACACGUAGGCGACCUGCCCCGAAGAAGGGAGUAACGCUCGAAGGGACGUGCUAAUACCCUACUACUCUUGCAGAGGCCAGAGGCUCUGUGAGGAAAAGUAGAGACGCUUCGGGAGGGGCCGUGCGGCCCGACUCAGGUAGUUGGUGAGGAACGGCUCACCAAGCCGAAGACGGGUAGGGGCCGUGGA
rnacentral:rRNA from 1 species